AUUGAACGCUGGCGGCAGGCCUAACACAUGCAAGUCGAACGAGUGGCGGACGGGUGAGUAAUGUCUGGGAAACUGCCUGAUGGAGGGGGAUAACUACUGGAAACGGUAGCUAAUACCGCAUACCAUCAGAUGUGCCCAGAUGGGAUUAGCUAGUUGGUGGGGUAACGGCUCACCAAGGCGACGAUCCCUAGCUGGUCUGAGAGGAUGACCCGCCACACUGGAACUGAGCCACGGGCCAGACUCCUACGGGAGUCAGCGUUGGGGAAGAUUGCACAAUGGGCGCAGGCCGGAUGCGGCCAUGCCGCGUGUAUGGAGAAGGCCGUCGGGUUGUAAAGUACUUUCAGCGGGGAGGCGUUACCCGCAGAAGAAGCACCGGCUAACUCCGUGCCAGCAGCCGCGGUAAUAC
rnacentral:rRNA from 1 species